rnacentral:rRNA from 1 species
GGGGAAUAUUGGACAAUGGGGGGAACCCUGAUCCAGCGAUGCCGCGUGUGUGAAGAAGGCCUGCGGGUUGUAAAGCACUUUCAGUGGGAAAGAGAAGCGUCUUGUGAAUAAUGGGACGUGGAGACGUUACUCACAGAAGAAGCACCGGCUAACUCUGUGCCAGCAGCCGCGGUAAUACAGAGGGUGCGAGCGUUAAUCGGAGUAACUGGGCGUAAAGGGCACGUAGGCGGUUAUAUGAGUCUGAUGUGAAAGACCUGGACUUAACCUGGGAUGUGCAUUGGAAACGGUAUAGCUAGAGUUUGGGAGAGGGAAGUGGAAUUUCCGGUGUAGCGGUGAAAUGCGUAGAGAUCGGAAAGAACACUCGUGGCGAAGGCGGCUUUCUGGCCCAAAACUGACGCUGAGGUGCGAAAGCGUGGGGAGCAAAC